CCUACGGGCGGCAGCAGUGAGGAAUAUUGGUCAAUGGACGAGAGUCUGAACCAGCCAAGUAGCGUGAAGGAUGACUGCCCUAUGGGUUGUAAACUUCUUUUAUAUGGGAAUAAAAUGUUCCACGUGUGGGAUUUUGUAUGUACAAUAUGAAUAAGGAUCGGCUAACUCCGUGCCAGCAGCCGCGGUAAUACGGAGGAUCCGAGCGUUACCCGGAUUUAUUGGGUUUAAAGGGAGCGUAGGGGGAUUGUUAAGUCAGUUGUGAAAGUUUGAGGCUCAACCGUAAAAUUGCAGUUGAAACUGGCAGUCUUGAGUACAGUAGAGGUGGGCGGAAUUCGUGGUGUAGCGGUGAAAUGCUUAGAUAUCACGAAGAACUCCGAUUGCGAAGGCAGUUCACUGGACUGCAACUGACACUGAGGCUCGAAAGUGUGGGUAUCAAACAGGAUUAGAUACCCCGGUAGUC
rnacentral:rRNA from 1 species